UUCAGAAUCUCUUUCUCUCUCUUCAAUUCCUCCCUCUCUCCAAUUAUCUCUCCGUUCGUAGCCACCACCAACGCUCGGCGGUCGCCGGUCAGGUCACUUCUCGCCGGUCGCUUCUCGCGGUGGUGAUUCCUUCGCAGAAAUCCAACGACGCCGCGAACACCUUCCUCCUCCAAUUCAUCGAUCGGUUAAUUCUCAAAACUCAAUCGCCAAUUCUCAAUUUGCGAUCUAUUUGUUAUUCGAACAAAAUCGCACCAAACAGAAAUUGUUAUUCAAAACAGCUGCGAUUUGUUAUUCAAAACUCAAAUCGCAAAUUCUCAAUUUGCGAUCGAUUUGUUAUUCGGUAAGAUUUUGCUGGUGGUGAUUUAUGGUGGCCUAUCGUCGCCGCCGCCGUUGCUGCUUGCUUCUCGGCGCCCGAGCUGCUCGCAGCCGCCUCUGCUCGCAGCCAUUUAGACGCCGCCGCUGCUCGGUUAAUUUAAUCGCUGGUGUUCUCAAUCGAUUUCAAUCGAUUCUAAAAUAAAAUCGAUCGGCAGUUCGGUAAGAUCUCUCUCCGGCGCUCAUUCUCUCUCUUCAAUUCCUCUCUCUCUCCUUUUCGAACACCACCAACAUUCGCCGCCGUCGCCGCCGCCGCCGCUGCUCGCGUCUCGCUUCCGCCGCUGCUCGAGUCUCGCCGCCGCCGCUGCUCACUGCAAUUCAGUCGCCGGUCGCGUUGGUUUUGGUUUCAGCAAUUUCGAUUAUAAAUUCCGUUCGCGGUGGUUGUGGUUGAAUCAGAUUUCAAUUUCGGUUGCUUUAGGGCUCUCGUUGAUGCAUGAAGUCAAGGAGGGAGUGUACUGGUAGCAGGUGGUUUCCAGAAUUAAAGAUUUGGUGAAUGUUGGUUAACAAGUACAAAUGAUGUUAUGUAUAUGAUAGAGUACAGUGGCCCGAUGGUUCCAGAGUCAUUAUCAAGACUCCCAGCUCGAAAUUCUCAGGUCUAGCUUGAUCUAGCUUAAUGAUCCUUGGAUCAAUCCAGCUUUGAAGAUAAGAGACUUCCUGAGAUUAAGCAGUGUUUUAUUUUCUACAAUCAUUUGCAGUCAUUGCGGACAUAUCCUCAUUCAGGGAUCAUGACUAUUCUGAAUAUCAAAUUUUAAUAGCUAGCACAAAAAACUGUUAAAGAAAGAUGUUUACCUGGUAAAUUGAGCAUUAGUUGGAUACAAUUAUGCAAAUAAAAUCUUGCACGUUUUCAUUGAACAGACAAAGAAGGGUUAGAUGACAAAUAUUGUCUAACCACUUCUAAUUCCCAUCUUCUAAGGGUUAGGAAAUUUGAUCAUAUCUGAUUCUGACAAGUCAUACGCAGAUGUCAUCCUUGCAUAUUCUUGGCAUAUCAGCAUAUGCCUUCUAAUCCUCAUUGAUGGAUUGCCAGCCGCGUCUAGCGACCACCUAACAUCAGAAAAAUGGACGAUACAUAUAAUUCUAGUUUAGUGUUCUUCUUGUUGCUGUAGCUGUCAUGUUUGAAGAGUUGAUGAAGCCUUUAAUAUGAUCAGCUAGGCAGUCGCGUUUCAGUCGGCUGGUUGCUGCAGGUCUGUUACUUAUGAGUAUUUUGAGAUUUUCUCAUUUACUUUUGAGUAUUUUUAAUUUACUUUUGAGUAUGUUUAAUUUACUUUUGAGUUAAUACUCCCUAGUCCCUAUUAUUUAUGUUCUUCUCUAUGGUGUAGCAGUCUUGUUUGCAAACGCGGUUUUAGUUCUAGUAGAGGUAGCGUUUGUUCUGACCAGCUAGGCACCCACGUUCAGAUCUGCUGGUUGUGCAAGUGUGUUGGCAGUAGCUAGUUGCUGCAGACCUGAUGCAGGAUGUUCGAAGCUAAAGUCAACUUUUCAAGUUUGAAUUUUGUAGCAGGUCGGUACAUGUUUGUUUUUUCUGCUUGUUGUUGUCUGCUUCUGAGCAGUUCAUGGUCAAUUUAUACUAUUAGUUUUUAAGAAAAUAUUUAAGAAAAAAAUUACAAUUGAAGUGUCAUUAUUAUUUUGUUUACAUUUAGAGGGAUUUAGUCUAUUUUUGGA